UCUAGGGUCUCUGCUGAAGAUCCUGCUGGUCGGGACAACUGGCGCCCAGUGUGGGAAUCUGGGUUUGGAGGAGUGGUGAACGUCAUCACACACCAAGGCAGGCCUGCCUAAGUGUUGGACCACUGUGGAAGAUGGCUCCAUGAGUGAAGGUCAGGUCAGUGAUCGCCACAGAAACGCCUGGCCUUGAGACAGAUCCAGAGGAAUUUUAACAUGAUGACACAAGAUGCUGAUGAAGAAAAAACUGGGAGAAUUUCCUUGGAUAUUCUGGAUCAUGCUGCUGUCUGUACCUGCUCAUCAGGACCAGAGACUGGUCGACACACCCCCAUUUGCAUGGCGUUUUUAUUUGACUGAAAAUUGUAUAAUUAUGCUAAAACACAGACCUUUGGCCACCUAUUGGCUACCACUGA